UCUUCUCUGCCGACGCCGAAACCAAUUCUCCUUCCCUUCCUGCGACGCCGACGCCACUGCCGAUCCACCGCAGGUGCGUCUGUGCCCUAGUGUCUCCACCGACGCCGAGCAGUGCCGGCCAUCUCUCCUCUUCCUCCAUUCCGAGAUUUUUCCAGCCGGUUCUUCUCGGACGCCCUCUGCCCUAGAUUUGGGCCACAGCCGACCAAGCUCCUUGCCCUGAAUCUGCCGAGCCUCACUUUCAUCUCUUCUCCUCUGCCCUAGUUUUCCUGGUGUCGUUGUCUUGGUACCACACUGCCGCCGGCCAUCAGGAUCAGCCGAGUUCUGUGUGAUUUUGGAGGUCACGGAUUGGUGUGGUUUGGUUGGGAAGGGACUGCUGAUACAGAGUUGAGAUUUAGUAACUUUGUGAUCCCCAGCAGCGGCUCUGAUCUUGUUUCAGCAACCAACGUCUUUGAUUUUGGAUCAACAGUGAUACAUACGAAUUGAGGACUUUGACGCGAGACGAGUAUCUCGGAGUCAGAUUGGACCUUUCUAUUUU